UGUUGGUCUGAGUGUACUGGUGUUUACAACUAAUUGAUCACAAGUAGUUACAGAUUCCUUUGUUCCCUCUCCACUCCCACUGCUUCACUUGACCAGCCUUAA
rnacentral:Y_RNA from 1 species